UACGUAGGGUGCGAGCGUUGUCCGGAAUCAUUGGGCGUAAAGGGUGCGUAGGCGGCGCGGUAAGUCGGGUGUGAAAUCUCGGGGCUUAACUCCGAAACUGCAUUCGAUACUGCCGUGCUUGAGGACUGGAGAGGAGACUGGAAUUCCUGGUGUAGCGGUGAAAUGCGCAGAUAUCAGGAGGAACACCGAUGGCGAAGGCAGGUCUCUGGGCUGUACCUGACACUGAUGCGCGACAGCAUGGGGAGCAAACAGG
rnacentral:rRNA from 1 species